rnacentral:rRNA from 1 species
ACAAGCGGUGGAGUAUGUGGUUUAAUUCGAUGCAACGCGAAGAACCUUACCUGGUCUUGACAUCCCGGAGACCCUUAGGAAACUAGGGGUGCUUCCAUCUGGAAGAAUCUGGAGACAGGUGCUGCAUGGCUGUCGUCAGCUCGUGUCGUGAGAUAUUGGGUUAAGUCCCGCAACGAGCGCAACCCUUGCCUUUAGUUGCCAGCAGUUCGGCUGGGCACUCUAAAGGGACUGCCGGUGUUAAACCGGAGGAAGGUGGGGAUGACGUCAAGUCCUCAUGGCCUUUAUGACCAGGGCUACACACGUACUACAAUGGCCGAUACAAAGGGCAGCGACACUGCGAGGUGAAGCCAAUCCCGUAAAAUCGGUCUCAGUCCGGAUUGGAGUCUGCAACUCGACUCCAUGAAGUUGGAAUCGCUAGUAAUCGUGGAUCAGCAUGCCACGGUGAAUACGUUCCCGGGCCUU